GUGCUUGCUUUUGUAGCACAUAUACUAAAAGUAGAAUGAUACAGAGAAGAUUAGCAUUGCCCUCACACAAAGAUGACAAGCAAAUUUAUGAAGUGUUCCUUAUUUUU
rnacentral:snRNA from 1 species